GCUUGUCUCAAAGAUUAAGCCAUGCAUGUCUUAGUGUAAAUAACUCUUAUGAAACUGCGAAUGGCUCAUUAAAUCAGUUAUCAAAUACGUGAUGGUCGCCUACUACAUGGAUAACCGUAGUAAUUCUAGAGCUAAUACAUGCACAAAGGCCCACUCACGUGGGUUGUGAUUAUUAGAUUCAAACCGGCCUCGUUCUGGUGAUUCAUAAUAAUUGGUCGAACCGCAUGCCCUUGUGGUGGCGGUGAUUCAUCCUUAUUUCUGCCCUAUCAGUUGUGGAUGGUAGGGUAUUGGCCUACCAUGACUUUAACGGGUAACGGAGAAUUAGGGUUCGAUUCCGGAGAGGGAGCCUGAGAAAUGGCUACCACAUCCAAGGAAGGCAGCAGG
rnacentral:rRNA from 1 species